rnacentral:rRNA from 1 species
AACGAACGCUGGCGGCAUGCCUAACACAUGCAAGUCGAACGAGAACUUCGGGUCCAGUGGCGCAUGGGUGCGUAACGCGUGGGAACAUGCCCUUAGGUUUGGAAUAACUCUCCGAAAGGGGUGCUAAUACCGGACAAUGUCUUCGGACCAAAGAUUUAUCGACCUUGGAUGGGCUCGCGUUGGAUUAGCUAGUUGGUAGGGUAAAAGCCUACCACGGCGACGAUUCAUAGCUGGUCUGAGAGGAUGAUCAGCGACACUGAGACUGAGACACGGCCUGGACUCCUACGGAAGGCAGCAAUGGGUAAUAGUGGACAAUGGGCGGAAGCAUGAUCCAUCAAUGCCGCGUGAGUGAUGAAGGCCGUAGAGUUGUAAAGCUCUUUUACCCGGGAUGGUAAUGACAGUACCGAAAGAAUAAGCUCCGGCUAACUCCGUG